CAGUAGCCACGGUAAUACGAAGGGGGCUAGCGUUGUUCGGAAUUACUGGGCGUAAAGCGCACGUAGGCGGACAUUUAAGUCAGGGGUGAAAUCCCGGGGCUCAACCCCGGAACUGCCUUUGAUACUGGGUGUCUUGAGUGUGGAAGAGGUCAGUGGAAUUGCGAGUGUAGAGGUGAAAUUCGUAGAUAUUCGCAGGAACACCAGUGGCGAAGGCGGCUGACUGGUCCACAACUGACGCUGAGGUGCGAAAGCGUGGGGAGCAAACAGGAUUAGAUACCCCCGUAGUCCCUGUCUCUUAUAC
rnacentral:rRNA from 1 species